rnacentral:rRNA from 1 species
UACGGAGGGGGGCUAGCGUUGUUCGGAAUUACUGGGCGUAAAGCGCGCGUAGGCGGCUUAGCAAGUUAGAGGUGAAAGCCCCGAAGCUCAACUUCGGAAUUGCCUUUAAAACUGCAAAGCUAGAAUCAUGGAGAGGUGAGUGGAAUUCCGAGUGUAGAGGUGAAAUUCGUAGAUAUUCGGAAGAACACCAGUGGCGAAGGCGACUCACUGGACAUGUAUUGACGCUGAGGUGCGAAAGCGUGGGGAGCAAACAGG